rnacentral:rRNA from 1 species
AUUGAACGCUGGCGGCAGGCCUAACACAUGCAAGUCGAGCGGAUGAAGGGAGCUUGCUCCUGGAUUCAGCGGCGGACGGGUGAGUAAUGCCUAGGAAUCUGCCUGGUAGUGGGGGAUAACGUCCGGAAACGGGCGCUAAUACCGCAUACGUCCUGAGGGAGAAAGUGGGGGAUCUUCGGACCUCACGCUAUCAGAUGAGCCUAGGUCGGAUUAGCUAGUUGGUGGGGUAAAGGCCUACCAAGGCGGCGAUCCGUAACUGGUCUGAGAGGAUGAUCAGUCACACUGGAACUGAGACACGGUCCAGACCCCUACGGGAGGCAGCAGUGGGGAAUAUUGGACAAUGGGCGAAAGCCUGAUCCAGCCAUGCCGCGUGUGUGAAGAAGGUCUUCGGAUUGUAAAGCACUUUAAGUUGGGAGGAAGGGCAGUAAGUUAAUACCUUGCUGUUUUGACGUUACCAACAGAAUAAGCACCGGCUAACUUCGUG